rnacentral:rRNA from 1 species
CCUACGGGUGGCAGCAGUGGGGGAUAUUGCACAAUGGGGGAAACCCUGAUGCAGCGACGCCGCGUGGGUGAAGAAGCGCCUCGGCGCGUAAAGCCCUGUCAGCAGGGAAGAAAAUGACGGUACCUGAGGAAGAAGCCCCGGCUAACUACGUGCCAGCAGCCGCGGUAAUACGGAGGGAGCAAGCGUUAUCCGGAUUUACUGGGUGUAAAGGGGGCGCAGAUGGCGAUGCAAGCCAGGAGUGAAAGCGCGGGGCCCAACCCCAGGACUGCUAUUGGAACUGCGUGGCUAGAGUGCAGGAGGGGCAGGCGGAAUUCGUGGUGUAGCGGUGAAAUACGUAGAUAUCACGAGGAACACCGAUGGCGAAGGCGGCCUACUAAACUGCCACUGACGUUGAGGCCCGAAAGCGUGGGGAGCAAACAGGAUUAGAUACCCGAGUAGUC